CCUACGGGAGGCAGCAGUGAGGAAUAUUGGUCAAUGGGCACAAGCCUGAAACAGCCAAGUAGCGUGCAGGAUGACUGCCCUACGGGUUGUAAACUGCUUUUGUAAGAGAGUAAAGUGAGGCACGUGUGCCUUUUUGUAUGUACUUUAUGAAUAAGGAUCGGCUAACUCCGUGCCAGCAGCCGCGGUAAUACGGAGGAUCCGAGCGUUAUCCGGAUUUAUUGGGUUUAAAGGGUGCGUAGAUGGUCUGUUAAGUCAGUGGUGAAAGUCUGAGGCUCAACUGUAAAAUUGCCACUGAUACUGGCAGGCUAGAGUGUAGUUGCGGUAGGCGGAAUGCGUGGUGUAGCGGUGAAAUGCUUAGAUAUCACGAAGAACACCGAUUGCGAAGGCAGCUUACCAAACUGCUACUGACAUUGAGGCUCGAAAGUGUGGGUAUCAAACAGGAUUAGAUACCCUGGUAGUC
rnacentral:rRNA from 1 species